rnacentral:rRNA from 1 species
UACACAUGCAAGUCGAACGAUGAAGCCCUUCGGGGUGGAUUAGUGGCGAACGGGUGAGUAACACGUGGGCAAUCUGCCCUUCACUCUGGGACAAGCCCUGGAAACGGGGUCUAAUACCGGAUAUUACUCCUGCCUGCAUGGGCGGGGGUUGAAAGCUCCGGCGGUGAAGGAUGAGCCCGCGGCCUAUCAGCUUGUUGGUGGGGUAAUGGCCCACCAAGGCGACGACGGGUAGCCGGCCUGAGAGGGCGACCGGCCACACUGGGACUGAGACACGGCCCAGACUCCUACGGGAGGCAGCAGUGGGGAAUAUUGCACAAUGGGCGAAAGCCUGAUGCAGCGACGCCGCGUGAGGGAUGACGGCCUUCGGGUUGUAAACCUCUUUCAGCAGGGAAGAAGCGAAAGUGACGGUACCUGCAGAAGAAGCGCCGGCUAACUACGUGCCAGCAGCCGCGGUAAUACGUAGGGCGCAAGCGUUGUCCGGAAUUAUUGGGCGUAAAGAGCUCGUAGGCGGCUUGUCACGUCGGAUGUGAAAGCCCGAGGCUUAACCUCGGGUCUGCAUUCGAUACGGGCUAGCUAGAGUGUGGUAGGGGAGAUCGGAAUUCCUGGUGUAGCGGUGAAAUGCGCAGAUAUCAGGAGGAACACCGGUGGCGAAGGCGGAUCUCUGGGCCAUUACUGACGCUGAGGAGCGAAAGCGUGGGGAGCGAACAGGAUUAGAUACCCUGGUAGUCCAC